rnacentral:rRNA from 1 species
UCGGGAAUUUUGGGCAAUGGGCGAAAGCCUGACCCAGCAACGCCGCGUGAAGGAUGAAGCCUCUCGGGAUGUAAACUUCGUAAGAAUAGGAAGAAUAAAUGACGGUACUAUUUGUAAGGUCCGGCUAACUACGUGCCAGCAGCCGCGGUAAUACGUAGGGACCAAGCGUUGUUCGGAUUUACUGGGCGUAAAGGGCGCGUAGGCGGCGUGGUAAGUCACUUGUGAAAUCUCCGAGCUUAACUCGGAACGGUCAAGUGAUACUGCUGUGCUAGAGUACAGAAGGGGCAAUCGGAAUUCUUGGUGUAGCGGUGAAAUGCGUAGAUAUCAAGAGGAACACCUGAGGUGAAGACGGGUUGCUGGGCUGAUACUGACGCUGAGGCGCGAAAGCUAGGGUAGCAAACAGGAUUAGAUACCCCCGUAGUCCCUGAGCGGGCUGGCAAGGCGCAU